rnacentral:sRNA from 1 species
AACCGAAAGCCUGCAGAGAGCAGAACAUGGAAGGAGACUUCUCGGUGUGCAGGAACUGUAAAAGACAUGUAGUCUCUGCCAACUUCACCCUCCAUGAGGCUUACUGCCUGCGGUUCCUGGUCCUGUGUCCGGAGUGUGAGGAGCCUGUCCCCAAGGAAACCACGGAGGAGCACUGCAAGGUGGAGCACCAGCAGUCCUCCCUGCAGGAGAGAUGGGGUCUGGGAGUCACGGAGUGGGUUCAGUCCUCCCUGCAGUUGAAAUGGGGUCUGGGAGGGGCAAGUGUUCCAUCUUCCCUGCAGGAGAGAUGGGGUCUGGGAGUCACGGAGUGGGUCCAGUCCUCCCUGCAGGAGAGAUGGGGUCUGGGAGUCACGGAGUGGGUCCAGUCCUCCCUGC